UGCGUAUUUUGCCCAGGCGGAGCUCGACCGCCGCGGCAAGUGAUGAUCGAGUUCAUCGAUGAUCACCGGGAGUCGUACGGGGUCGAGCCGAUCUGCCGAAUCCUGCCGAUCGCCCCG
rfam:Halomonas desiderata SP1 contig_168, whole genome shotgun sequence.